UACAGAGGUCUCAAGCGUUGUUCGGAUUCAUUGGGCGUAAAGGGUGCGUAGGUGGCGCCGUAAGUCGGGUGUGAAAUCUCGGGGCUUAACUCCGAAACUGCAUUCGAUACUGCGGUGCUUGAGGACUGGAGAGGAGACUGGAAUUCAUGGUGUAGCAGUGAAAUGCGUAGAGAUCAUGAGGAAGACCAGUGGCGAAGGCGGGUCUCUGGACAGUUCCUGACACUGAGGCACGAAAGCGUGGGGAGCGAACAGG
rnacentral:rRNA from 1 species